rnacentral:rRNA from 1 species
GGGCUGCAGUAGGGAAUAUUGCGCAAUGGCCUAACGGCUGACGCAGCAACGCCGCGUGGAUGAUGAAGCAUUUCGGUGUGUAAAGUCCUUUCAGUAGGGAAGAACGGCUUCGGCCCUGACGGUACCUACAGAAGAAGCACCGGCUAACUCCGUGCCAGCAGCCGCGGUAAUACGGGGGGUGCAAGCGUUGUUCGGAUUUACUGGGCGUAAAGCGCACGCAGGCGGACUGUCAAGUCAGAUGUGAAAACCACGAGCUUAACUCUUGGCCUGCAUUUGAAACUGGCAGUCUUGAGUACCGGAGAGGAUGGCGGAAUUCCUGGUGUAGCGGUGAAAUGCGUAGAUAUCAGGAAGAACACCGGUGGCGAAGGCGGCCAUCUGGACGGAUACUGACGCUCAGGUGCGAAGGCUAGGGGAGCAAACAGGAUUAGAUACCCCUGUAGUC